rnacentral:tRNA from 1 species
GCUUGUCUAGCUCAAUUAGUUAGAGUGUAAAGCUUUUAACCUUGUUGUUGUGGGUUCAAGCCCCACGAUGGGUG